AUUAAAACACAAAAGGCAUGGGCUCUAACUGUGAACUUCAGUAGAUUGAAAAGAGCUCCAGUAGAUUAGGAUUCGGCUGAGAAGAAGAGGCGAAGUUCCUGGCGAUUUGGAUUCCUAGGAAAACAUCUGCACCAAAUGCUUCUUCAAAUAAACUUGAAAUUGAAUAAUGAAGUUCAUCCUUGAAGUAUUUACUGGUUUAUUGCUGUCACAAUGAUCUAUAUAGUUUCUAAAGCCAACAUUGACGACUAUGGUAAUUAUUGCAAAGAAGGAUGAGAGGGGGAUACUAUGUAUGAAGCUGACCAACCAAAUGUCAUCAAUAAUGGAAUAAGCCGUGCAGGUUAUUAAAUUAAGUUCAUGCUCAUGCCUACCCAAGAUUGAUGAUGCGAUUCCCACCAGGGUCUUUGGAGAAAGCUUGCUUGCUUUGAAGUAGAUUGGUGAAGGGCUUUAAUCAUAUGGAAAAACAAGUCUCUACGUUACGUGUGAUUAACUUGUAGUGUGUGGAAAGUUUCUCUCUCUCUCUCUCUCUCUCUCUCUCUUUUUUGUCUGUUGCAUAAAAUUAGAAAGGGGAUGUGCAGGCAUGUAAUGCGAAUAGAAUGAAUGAUAAAAUGCCACAUGAUGCUUAGGAGCCCGUUGUACAA